rnacentral:rRNA from 1 species
GACAGAGGUGGCAAGCGUUGCUCGGAUUCACUGGGCUUAAAGGGCGCGUAGGUGGCCUUGCAAGUCUGAGGUGGAAUUUCAUAGCUUAACUAUGGAACUGCCUUUGAAACUGCAAGGCUUGAGUCAGGUAGAGGAAGGCGGAAUUCCCGGUGUAGCGGUGAAAUGCGUAGAUAUCGGGAAGAAGGCCGGUGGCGUAGGCGGCCUUCUGGGCCUGCACUGACACUGAGGCGCGAAAGCGUGGGGAG